rnacentral:rRNA from 1 species
CUUGUUCUUUAAAUAGGGACUUGUAUCAACGGCAUCACGAGGGUUAUACUGUCUCCUCUCUCCAAUCAGUGAAACUGAUCUCCCCGUGAAGAAGCGGGGAUAUUAACAUAAGACGAGAAGACCCCAUGGAGCUUUAAAUUUUAUAGCAACUCAGUCAAAUAAUUCCUAGUAAUCUACAGAACUAUGCCUAUUAAUUUUAGGUUGGGGUGACCGCGGAGCAAAAAUUAACCUCCAUGACGAAAAGAACUAAAUCUUUAUCUAAGAGUCACAACUCUAAGAAUUAGUAUACUAACGACCAUGACCCGAUAAUCGAUCAACGGACCAAGUUACCCUGGGGAUAACAGCGCAAUCUACUUUGAGAGCCCAUAUCGACAAGUAGGCUUACGACCUCGAUGUUGGAUCAGGGUAUCCCAGUGGUGCAGCCGCUACUAAUGGUUCGUUUGUUCAACGAUUAAAACCCU